GUGUCAGCAGCCGCGGUAAUACGGAGGAUCCAAGCGUUAUCCGGAUUCAUUGGGUUUAAAGGGUGCGUAGGCGGAAUGGUAAGUCAGUGGUGAAAUCCUACGGCUUAACUGUAGAAUUGCCAUUGAUACUGCCAAUCUUGAGUACAUUUGAAGUGGGCGGAAUGUGUCAUGUAGCGGUGAAAUGCUUAGAUAUGACACAGAACACCGAUUGCGAAGGCAGCUCACUAAACUGUAACUGACGCUGAGGCACGAAAGCGUGGGGAUCAAACAGGAUUAGAUACCCUUGUAGUCC
rnacentral:rRNA from 1 species